GCCAGGCGUGGUGGUGGGCGCCUGUAAUCCCAGCUACUCAGGAGGCUGAGGCAGGAGAAUUGUUUGAACCCAGGAGGCGGAGGUUGCAGUGAGCCAAGAUCAUGCCACUGCACUCCAGCCUGGGUAACAGAGUGAGACUCUGUCUCAA
rnacentral:SRP_RNA from 1 species